CAUGUGCAAGGCAAGUACUCUACCACUGAGCUACAACCCCAGCCCCAGCUAGAAAAUUCUUAAAAAAACAAAACCUGGCUCAUUUAUGAGAAGAUCACAUGUUCCUGAUUUUCAUACCUGAAUUUCUCAUAUCCAUAAACUUCCAAAUUUUAUUUACCUUAAAAGUAUAUAACAACCAGUGCAUGCCUGCAGUUCCAGCAACUCAGGAGCCUGAGUCAGGAGGAUUGCAAGUUCGAGGCCAGCCUCAGCAACUCAGUGAGGCCCUAAGCAAUUUAGUGGAGACUAUGUCUCAAAAUAAAAAAUAAAAAGGGCUGGAGAUGUAGCUUAUUGGUAAAGCCCCUGGGUUCAAUCCCCACUACCCUCCCCCACAAAGUAUUUAACAUGUUUUUCCAGGUUUUCUCAUGUUAAAGGUAUUUCCCUCUUUGGCUUAUCAUAUUCAAUCUUGUCUAUAUUACUUCUCCUAAUGUGAUUUUUUAAAAACCUAGUGUUCACCUCCACCUCUAUUCUUUUAAUUAUCUACACUUUUGUAUUGUGUAUAUCUCUUAAAUUUGAAUUUAUAUUCUCAUUAUUAGUGUUUCUGCAAAUGGAAGGAAUAUAAUGGAAUUGGGAGCUUUGGGGAGUUUGGGGUCAUAGUGGGAAUGCAACUGACAGCUGACAAGGGAUACAUAAAAGGACAGUCAGCGGAAAUCAAAGCAUGAAUUUGUACUGGACACAGUCACCUGGUUUUAGAUUCUCCAGCACAAUUCAGGCAGCUCAGAAAUGGAGAUACAAAAAUGGAGGAACCCUGGCUGAUGACAGGCAUGGCAAACAGCCACAACACUCCUCUGCUUAUAAUCCUUCAAAAGCUUUCCGUUCUUUAACCUGACUUUCCACUAUCUGGCACUACCUAUUUCUCUGGCUUCCUUGUGUACCACCCUUCCCUUGGUUUCAAAGCCCUGUCAUACUAUUUGUCAUCUCUUAGCCUUUUUCCUCACCCUUGCUUCAGCUUAAAAAUCCUUUCCUCAAAGAAGC
rnacentral:lncRNA from 1 species